rnacentral:rRNA from 1 species
UGCAAGUCGAACGAGAAAUCUUUAGCUCGCUAGAGAAAGUAAAGUGGCGCACGGGUGAGUAACGCGUGGGUAAUCUGCCUCCGAAUCGGGGAUAACAUUGCGAAAGCGAUGCUAAUACCGGAUAAAAUCUGGUUGGCUUCGGUGAACCGGAUCAAAGGUGGUCUCUUUAUAAAAGCUACCGUUUGGAGAUGAGCUCGCGUACCAUUAGCUAGUUGGUGAGGUAAAGGCUCACCAAGGCGACGAUGGUUAGCUGGUCUGAGAGGAUGAUCAGCCACACCGGAACUGGAACACGGUCCGGACUCCUACGGGAGGCAGCAGUGAGGAAUUUUGCGCAAUGGGGGAAACCCUGACGCAGCAACGCCGCGUGAGUGAUGAAGGCUUUCGGGUCGUAAAGCUCUGUCGGGUGGGAAGAACCCACCAAGUGUUAAGACCACUUGGUGCUGACGGUACCACCGAAGGAAGCACCGGCUAACUCCGUGCCAGCAGCCGCGGUAAUACGGAGGAUGCAAGCGUUAUCCGGAUUCACUAGGUUUAAAGGGUGCGUAGGCGGAAUAAUAAGUCAGUGGUGAAAUCUUGCGGCUCAACCGUAAAAUUGCCAUUGAUACUGUUAUUCUUGAGUAUGGUUGAGGUAGGCGGAAUGAGUAAUGUAGCGGUGAAAUGCUUAGAUAUUACUCAGAACACCGAUUGCGUAGGCAGCUUACCAAGCCAUCACUGACGCUGAGGCACGAAAGCGUGGGUAGCAAACAGGAUUAGAUACCCUGGUAGUCCACGCCGUAAACGUUGAUUACUCGUUGUUGGCAAUACACCGUCAGCGACUGAGCAAAAGCAUUAAGUAAUCCACCUGGGGAGUACGUCAGCAAUGAUGAAACUCAAAGGAAUUGACGGGGGCCCGCACAAGCGGAGGAACAUGUGGUUUAAUUCGAUGAUACGCGAGGAACCUUACCUGGGCUUAAAUGUUUAGUGAUCGACCGGGAGACCGGUUUUUCCUUCGGGACACUUUACAAGGUGCUGCAUGGUUGUCGUCAGCUCGUGCCGUGAGGUGUCGGGUUAAGUCCCAUAACGAGCGCAACCCCUAUCGCCAGUUGCCAGCACAUAAUGGUGGGAACUCUGGUGAAACUGCCGGUGCAAACCGUGAGGAAGGUGGGGAUGACGUCAAAUCAGCACGGCCCUUAUGUCCAGGGCUACACACGUGUUACAAUGGUCGGUACAACAGGAUGCCAAUCCGCAAGGAUGAGCUAAUCCCAAAAGCCGAUCUUAGUUCGGAUCGGAGUCUGCAAUUCGACUCCGUGAAGUUGGAUUCGCUAGUAAUCGCAGAUCAGCCAUGCUGCGGUGAAUACGUUCCCGGGCCUUGUACACACCGCCCGUCAAGCCAUGAAGCCGGGGGUGCCUGAAGUC